rnacentral:rRNA from 1 species
GACAGAGGCCUCGAGCGUUAGGCGGAAUCACUGGGCUUAAAGCGUGUGUAGGCGGGCCCGUAAGUGUCUUGUGAAAUCCCACGGCUCAACCGUGGAACUGCUGGGCAUACUGCGGGUCUUGGGCCAACUAGGGGCAGCCGGAACAAGCGGUGGAGCGGUGAAAUGCGUAGAUAUCGCUUGGAACGCCGAAGGUGAAAACAGGCUGCUGGGGUCGCGCCGACGCUGAGACACGAAAGCCAGGGGAGCAAACGGG